rnacentral:rRNA from 1 species
AGUGAACGCUGGCGGUAGGCCUAACACAUGCAAGUCGAACGGCAGCACAGUAAGAGCUUGCUCUUACGGGUGGCGAGUGGCGGACGGGUGAGGAAUACAUCGGAAUCUACUUUUUCGUGGGGGAUAACGUAGGGAAACUUACGCUAAUACCGCAUACGACCUACGGGUGAAAGCAGGGGAUCUUCGGACCUUGCGCGAUUGAAUGAGCCGAUGUCGGAUUAGCUAGUUGGCGGGGUAAAGGCCCACCAAGGCGACGAUCCGUAGCUGGUCUGAGAGGAUGAUCAGCCACACUGGAACUGAGACACGGUCCAGACUCCUACGGGAGGCAGCAGUGGGGAAUUUUGGACAAUGGGCGCAAGCCUGAUCCAGCCAUACCGCGUGAGUGAAGAAGGCCUUCGGGUUGUAAAGCCCUUUUGUUGGGAAAGAAAAGCAGCAGGUUAAUACCCCGCUGUUCUGACGGUACCCAACGAAUAAGCACCGGCUAACUUCGUG